UUCACCUAGAAACCAGAAAGAACCCACAGCCACUAGAGCCACUGGAAACAGGCCCACCAACUGUGGUCUCCACUAUGAACCUACUAUCAGGUGUAAGAUCUGGGACUACAUUCUAUUUUCUGUAAAUUGUGCAGAGCAAGUGUGUGGUGACCAUUUUUUCCCCUCGGAUUUUAAUCUACCGGAUAUGCCCAUAGAGUUUGCAGGAAUAACAGCUGGUUCUGGAAGCUGUUGGAGAUGUGAGAUAAAGACAGAGAAUAAAUAUAAAACAUUAAUAUUACUAUUUUGAAACACUGUGGUUUACUUUUUGGAAAGAGAAGAAAGGGCAAAGGGAUGGGAAACUAAUAUAGAUAUACCAAAUUAUGUGCAACACACACAAGAGAAAGAGGAAAAAGAGAAUGAGAAAGAGAAAGAGACAUUUGCUUCCCAGCCAUCCCAGUGUUCAUCAACAAGAACAACAAUAACAACAACAACAACAAAAUCAAAGGAGUGACAAUCUGUUCUUAGACUGUCUUUGCAGUUCCCUACCAGGAAAAAGAGUAUUCCUUUUCUGCAGCACUUAAAUCCUAUACUGGCAACAGUGAAAACCCAAGGGAAAUUAUCUACAAGUAUGAACAGACAGUCCCCAAUUUAUUUACGAGUUCGACUUAUGAUUUUUUUGACUUCACAGUGGU
rnacentral:lncRNA from 1 species